rnacentral:rRNA from 1 species
GUAGGAGGCGAGCGUUGUCCGGAGUUACUGGGCGUAAAGGGUGCGCAGGCGGCCCGGCAGGUGGGUGGGGAAAGCUCCUGGCUCAACUGGGAGAGGGCCAUGCAAACGGUCGGGCUUGAGGGUCGCAAAGGGGCGUGGAAUUCCGGGUGGAGCGGUGAAAUGCGUAAAGAUCCGGAGGAACACCGACGGCGAAGGCAGCGCCCUGGACGAUCCCUGACGCUCAGGCACAAAAGCUGGGGGAGCAAACAGGAUUAGAUACCCUGGUAGUCCCAGCUGUAAACGAUGUCCACCAGGUGCCGGGGGUAUCGACCCCCUCGGUGCCGCAGCUAACGUGAUGAGUGGACCGCCUGGGGAGUACGGCCGCAGGGUUA